rnacentral:rRNA from 1 species
AGAGCGAACGCUGGCGGCAGGCCUAAUACAUGCAAGUCGAACGGAUCCUUCGGGAUUAGUGGCGGACGGGUGAGUAACACGUGGGAACGUGCCCUUUGGUUCGGAACAACUCAGGGAAACUUGAGCUAAUACCGAAUGAGCCCCCAUCCUUAAACAAGAUGGGUGGGAAAGAUUUAUCGCCAUUGGAGCGGCCCGCGUCUGAUUAGCUAGUUGGUGGGGUAAAGGCCCACCAAGGCGACGAUCAGUAGCUGGUCUGAGAGGAUGAUCAGCCACACUGGGACUGAGACACGGCCCAGACUCCUACGGGAGGCAGCAGUGGGGAAUCUUGCACAAUGGGCGAAAGCCUGAUGCAGCAACGCCGCGUGAGGGACGAAGGCUUUCUGAGUUGUAAACCUCUUUCAGCAGGGACGAUUGUGACGGUACCUGCAGAAGAAGCCCCGGCAACUACGUGCCAGCAGCCGC